rnacentral:rRNA from 1 species
AGGGGAUCGAGAGAAUCAUGGUGAAGGAACUCGGCAAAAUGCCCCCGUAACUUCGGGAGAAGGGGGGCCAUCCACUUAUUCGGAUUUACUCCGGAAAGGGUGUGGUGGCCGCAGAGACCAGUGGGAAGCGACUGUUUACUAAAAACACAGGUCCGUGCGAACAAGCAAUUGGAUGUAUACGGACUGACGCCUGCCCGGUGCUGGAAGGUUAAGAGGAGAGGUCAACCCUUCGGGGUGAAGCUUUGAAUUUAAGCCCCAGUAAACGGCGGUGGUAACUAUAACCAUCCUAGGUAGCGAAAUUCCUUGUCGGGUAAGUUCCGACCUGCACGAAUGGCGUAACGACUUCCCAGCUGUCUCCACCAUGAACUCGGCGAAAUUGCACUACGAGUAAAGAUGCUCGUUACGCGCAGAAGGACGGAAAGACCCCGUGACCUUUACUACAGCUUGGUAUUGGUGUUCGGUGUGGCUUGUGUAGGAUAGGUGGGAGACUGUGAAGCAGGGACGCUAGUUCUUGUGGAGUCAUUGUUGAAAUACCACUCUGGUCAUAUUGGAUAUCUAACUACGGACCCUGAUCGGGUUCUGGGACAGUGCCUGGUGGGUAGUUUAACUGGGGCGGUUGCCUCCUAAAGAGUAACGGAGGCACCCAAAGGUUCCCUCAACCUGGUUGGCAAUCAGGUGGCGAGUGUAAGUGCACAAGGGAGCUUGACUGUGAGACUGACAGGUCGAGCAGGGACGAAAGUCUGGACUAGUGAUCCGGCAGUGGCUUGUGGAAGCGCUGUCGCUCAACGGAUAAAAGGUACCUCGGGGAUAACAGGCUGAUCUUGCCCAAGAGUCCAUAUCGACGGCAUGGUUUGGCACUUCGAUGUCGGCUCGUCGCAUCCUGGGGCUGGAGUAGGUCCCAAGGGUUGGGCUGUUCGCCCAUUAAAGCGGUACGCGAGCUGGGUUUAGAACGUCGUGAGACAGUUCGGUCCCUAUCCUCUGCGCGCGUUGGAAAUUUGAGAGGAUCUGACCCUAGUACGAGAGGACCGGGUUGGACGGACCUCUGGUGUGCCAGUUGUUCUGCCAAGGGCAUGGCUGGUUGGCUACGUUCGGGAUGGAUAACCGCUGAAAGCAUCUAAGCGGGAGGCCGGCCUCGAGAUGAGAUUUCCGUCACCCUUGUGGUGGUGAGGCUCCCAGGAGAUUACUGGGUUGAUAGGCCAGAUGUGGAAGCACUGUAAGGUGUGGAGCUGACUGGUACUAAUAAGCCGAUGGCUUG